CCUCUCCUGCAGGUAUGGAGGGUCAAUACCAAGUACAACGUGCUGUAUGUGAACGGCUCGGUGCCCGGACACAGGAACUGCGUGUUGAAGGUGAGAGACUCUGUACUACCAAACAGGAAGUCCUCCCUGAUCAACCCUCCUUUCCCGACAUAUUUCACAGAAGAGGAAGGAGACCUGGAUGAAGACUUGUACGACGAGAACUUGUUCAUUCAGACAGAUCCAUCGUUAUCACUGACCUGAAGACCCCCCCCCCACACACACACACACACAUCAUGUUUUCAUCUAAAACCACGAUCCUGCAAUAAAGAGUAAUUCCUUUGAAUGCC